rnacentral:rRNA from 1 species
AGCAGUAGGGAAUCUUCCGCAAUGGACGAAAGUCUGACGGAGCAACGCCGCGUGAGUGAUGAAGGUUUUCGGAUCGUAAAACUCUGUUGUUAGGGAAGAACAAGUACGAGAGUAACUGCUCGUACCUUGACGGUACCUAACCAGAAAGCCACGGCUAACUACGUGCCAGCAGCCGCGGUAAUACGUAGGUGGCAAGCGUUGUCCGGAAUUAUUGGGCGUAAAGCGCGCGCAGGCGGUCCUUUAAGUCUGAUGUGAAAGCCCACGGCUCAACCGUGGAGGGUCAUUGGAAACUGGGGGACUUGAGUACAGAAGAGAAGAGUGGAAUUCCACGUGUAGCGGUGAAAUGCGUAGAGAUGUGGAGGAACACCAGUGGCGAAGGCGACUCUUUGGUCUGUAACUGACGCUGAGG